UAAGAUUGUGGAGACCUGGUCAAACAUUCCAGUAAGCCAGAGAUAAAACAGGAAGAUCACAAUGUUCUCUUAAAACCAUACUCAAGAUUAGAAGGAAGAUAACUCUAUGCCUACUUCUUGCUUGGUUAGCCUUUUCCUGUUUUCCAGUUGUGAAAAUCAAAAGGAAAGAAGAGUUCCUCUGCAAGGAAUAUGACACUUUUAAAUAUCAAACCCAUUGCUUGGGCAUACUGUAUGAUAACAUUAGGGGCUGAAAUGCUAAAUUCUGUCUUCAGUUUCUACUAUGUGAAACUUUUUCUACAUCUGUACAAGAUUUCAGACAUGGCCUUUUAUCAAGCCCAGAUAAUCUUUAUGAUCUGGAAUGUUCUUAAUAACCUGAUUGGGUAUUUUCACGACCACUCGAAGGCUGAAUGCUGCUCAAGUCGUCAUGUUUCUAUCUUGUGUUGUGCCCCUUUGUAUGCAAUAGCCUUCCUGCUUCCUUGGUUCCCUUGGAAAUACUAUCAAGAAGGUGACUGGCUUAGUGGACUUCACCUGGUGGUAUCCUUGUGUGCUUUUGAUAGCACACUCACCUGUGUUCAGCAAGCCCAAUGUGCACUGUUUACAGAGAUUUACACUAGACAUGAAAGCAGGCUGCAGCUUAUUAAAAUUAACCAAGUGGCAUCACUGGUAGCAUCUACCAGUAUCCUUUUCUGUGGCCUCAUCUCUAAUAACAUGGAAAUUUUGCCCUAUUUUCAGGCUGUUGCUAUUGUCAUUGCCUUUCUUGCUGCUGCCAGCCUUUACACUGGCAUGUACUACAUGAGACGUUUUGAACUUAAAAGAAGCCCCAAGGAAAAUCUCCUCUUAGAAAGUGAAGAGGAUCUCGCCUGGACCACUGUCAUCUUAGCCAUGAGACACAUCUUGUCCCAGAAGAACUUUUACCUCUUUCUGGUAGUGAAUUUCUUUCAAGUCUUUCAUUUAACCUUCUUCAACAACUUCAUGAUGAUCUUUGCAGACAAUCUCAUUCCCAGGAAUGUUCUUUCUUCUUCCAUAAGGAGCAUCAUGUAUGGGGCAGGCUUUAUUUGCUCACAGGUAUGUGAUAAUUCUUCAUGUAUUCCUGCAGGGAUUAGAGAUUUAACUCUUACAUGGGUAAGGAAAUGAGAAACCUGAUUUUAACAAUAGCUUGGACAAAAUGACACACAUGUAUUAAGAGAUCCAAAGAUUCAGAACUCCAGCUAUUAAACAAGAUUCAACAGAAACAUGAUGGGAAAAAGAAACAAAAGGAAAAAAGAAAAGAGAACCUAGUGUAAGUUGGGCAAUGUGAUAUUUUAAACAUUUCAACUUUUGAAUUUUGUUCCCCUUAGCUUUUUCAUUUAAACCUCAGCAGACUUAUGGAGGAAAAUAAAUAGCUUCCUGUGAACAUGUAUUAAUAGUUUAGCUUCAUUCAGGCAUUUAAGAUUUCUGUUACUGUUACAUAGAAGAAGGAGUUUACUCAAUCAAGAAUUCUUGGAGCCAGGUUUCAAAACACUUGGCUGAAAGCCUGAGUCCUGGAAUUCCAGAGCAUUAUUAAAAUUCCACGGUCAUGACCAUGAUUGUAGAGGGUAUAUCCUUCAAAAAAAUAUACUGGCUUGCUGUUUAUUAUACAAUUUGAAGAGCUGAUGUAUUUCCCCCCUUAACCUAAAUAUAUCCUUUAAAAAUAUGACUUGAGUAGGGCAUGGUGGCACACAAUUGUAGUCCCAGCUACUCAAGAGGCUGAGGCAGGAGGCUUACUUGAGCCCAAGAGUUCAAGUCCAGACUGGGCAACAUAGUGAGACCCUGUCUCUAAAAAAACAAAAAUAAAAAUAUGACUUACCUAGCCUAUAAUAUGGAUUUACCCAUUUUCACAAUUAAAUGAUAAAUAAAACAUGGUAUAUCUAUACUUUUUAAUAAGUUAUUCUAGAUAGAAUAAGUUAUUCUAGAUAGACUAGUUUUUGCUGUUUACCAACUUUCAAAAAUAUUUAAACCAUUUAAGAUAGAAAUGGUUCUAAAAUAUUUUAAGUGUUGCCACAAUUUCUUAAGCAAAGAACAUAGGAUACAAUUUGCCUUUCUGAAAAUCUAUCCCAAGGUCUCUAUGGUUACUGUGUAUACCAUAAUAAUGAUAACUCACAGUUAUUGAGUGCUUGCUGUUCCAGGGACUAUUGCCAAGCACAUUGUACACAUUGCCUCAUGUAAUCCUCAUAACAAUCUGCAAGGGAGAGAUUCUUAUUCUUACAGAUGAAAACAGGGAGGUGCAGAGGCAUCUGCCUUUAGAGCCACAUACUUGAAGAUUCUCUCUCUAAAAUGCACUGUGCUUACAUCAUUUAUUUAGCGGAGUAUAUCAGAUGAAAUAUUGUUUUGGUUUAUCAAUAUAGUCCUAGGUGUGUGCAUGAUAAAACAAUGCUCUCCUUUCAGAGCAAUUUGAGGUUCAUCAAGCUAUUUGCUCCUAGUUCAAUCACCUACAAUGGGAAGCUGUUUGUGUUCCUUGCUAUCAGAUUCUAGGCUACCUUCUUACUUUAAAUUAUGUACAACGCACAGUACUAGCCUAUAGUUUCUCCUCUUCACCAAGUAAAGUUUGUUACAUUCUUAUGUAACAAAAAAAAAAAGAGUAGCUUGUAAUCCUAGCACUCUGGGAGGCCAAGGCAGGCAGAUCCUUUGAGCUCAGGAAUUUGAGACCAGCCUGAGCAAGAGCGGAGACCCUGUCUCUACCAAAAAUUGAAAAAAUUAGCUGAGCAAGGUGGUGCAUGCAUGUAGUCCCAGCUACUUGGGAGGCUGAGGCAGGAGGAUCGCUUGAGCCCAGGAGUUUGAGGUUGCUGUGAGCUAGGCUGAUGCCACGGCACUCUAGCCGGGGCAACAGAGUGAGACUCUGUCUAAAAAAAAAAAUAAAUAAAUAAAUAAAGAGGGUAGAUAGAUGUUUAAAAACAGCCUUGUUGAGAUAUGAUUCAUGUACCAUACAAUUCACUCAAUGUAUUUUAAUAUAGUCAAAGAGUUGUGCAACCAGCACCAGUCAAUUUUGGAACAUUUUCAUCACCCUAAAAAGAACCAGUCAAUCUCCACUUCACUCUCCCCUCAACCCCUCAAAACCACCAAUCUACUUUCUGUUUCUAUGGAUUUACUUAUUCUGAACUUUCAUAUAAAUGGAAUCAUAUAAUAUGUGGUCUUUUGUGACUGGCUUCUUUCACUUAGAACAUUAGACGUAAUUUGAUGUAGACUUGGCACGUUUUUAAGGUUCAUCCAUGUUGUACCAUGUAUGAGUACUUCAUUCCAUUUUAUGACCUGAUAAUAUUCCAUUGAAUGGAUAUACCACAUUUUGUUUAUCUGUUCAUCAGUUGAUGGACAUUUGGGUUGUUUCUACUUUUUGGCUAUUAAUGACUAAUGAUGCUAUGAACAUUAGUGUACAAGUUUUUGCAGAGACGUAUAUUUUCAUUCUUUUGGGUGUACAUCUAGGAGUGGAGUAGCUGUGUCAUAUGGUGACUCCAUGUUUCACAUUUUGAGGUAACAUAUACCAAAUGGCUGUACCAUUUAACAUUCCUACCAGUUGUGUAUAAAUGCUCUAGUUUCUCCAUAUUCUUACCAACUCUUGAUAUGAUCGAUCUUUUUCAUGUUAGCCAUGCUAGUAUGUAUAUAAUAUCUUAUUGUGGUUUUGAUUUAUGUUUUCCUAAUGAUUCUAGUGAUGUUGAGUAUCUUUGCAUGUGUUCACUUGCCAUCCAUAUAUAUUUUUGAUGAAUUAUUCAAAUCUUUUGUCUAAUUUUAAUCGAAUCAUCCAUCUUUGUAUUACCAAUUUGUAGGAGAUCUUUAUAUAUUCUAGAUACGUGUCUUUGUCAAAUAUAUGUUCAGUAAAUAUUUUCUCGUAGUCUCUUUUGGCUAUUAAAGGUUAAGAGAAGUGUGACCAAAACAUUUCAACAGCCCUUUUUCUGAAGUCCUCACAAGAACAUGUAUUU
ensembl:lincRNA